rnacentral:rRNA from 1 species
CGAAAGCCUGACGGAGCAAGACCGCGUGGGGGAGGAAGGCUCUAGGGUUGUAAACCCCUUUUAUCUGGGAAGAACAAAAUGACGGUACCAGAUGAAUAAGCCUCGGCUAACUCCGUGCCAGCAGCCGCGGUAAUACGGAGGAGGCAAGCGUUAUCCGGAAUGAUUGGGCGUAAAGCGUCCGCAGGUGGCAAUGUAAGUCUGCUGUCAAAACCCAGGGCUCAACUCUGGUCAGGCAGUGGAAACUACAUAGCUAGAGUUCGGUAGGGGCAAAGGGAAUUCCCGGUGUAGCGGUGAAAUGCGUAGAGAUCGGGAAGAACAUCGGUGGCGAAAGCGCUCUGCUGGGCCGCAACUGACACUCAGGGACGAAAGCUAGGGGAGCG